rnacentral:rRNA from 1 species
GACGGGGGAUGCAAGUGUUAUCCGGAAUCACUGGGCGUAAAGCGUCUGCAGGUGGUUUCCUAAGUCCACUGUUAAACCUUGAGGCUCAACCUCAAAUCUGCAUUGGAAACUAGGAGAUUUGAGUAUAGUAGGGGUAGAGGGAAUUUCCAGUGGAGCGGUGAAAUGCGUAGAUAUUGGAAAGAACACCGAUGGCGAAGGCACUCUACUGGGCUAUUACUGACACUCAGAGACGAAAGCUAGGGGAGCAAAUGGG